AUGGUGGGCGGUCCUUCUUACUUGGUUGCUAUAAUUAUUGAGUUUCUUCACAGUGUAAAUUUGGGAAAGAUUCAUGUGGCCCCAAAUCUAUAUGUAUUGAUAAUUCAACUUCUGGUGUGGAAUGAACGUUAUGCUGAGUUGGGGUUGUUUGUCGUAAAUAAUAUUUUGGAGCCUUCUAAGAAAGUUGCGUUGCAACUCCUGGAGUCUGGACGUCAGAACACCCAAACUAGGAAGCUUGGUCUGGAUAUGUUGAGACAGCUUGGCUUACAUAAUGAUUAUGUAUUGCUUCUAGUGUAA